rnacentral:rRNA from 1 species
GACGAACGCUGGCGGCGUGCUUAACACAUGCAAGUCGAACGGAAAGGCCCUGCUUGCAGGGUACUCGAGUGGCGAACGGGUGAGUAACACGUGGGUGAUCUGCCCUGCACUUCGGGAUAAGCCUGGGAAACUGGGUCUAAUACCGGAUAGGAGCCAUUUUUAGUGUGAUGGUUGGAAAGUUUUUUCGGUGUAGGAUGAGCUCGCGGCCUAUCAGCUUGUUGGUGGGGUAAUGGCCUACCAAGGCGGCGGCGGGUAGCCGGCCUGAGAGGGUGGACGGCCACAUUGGGACUGAGGUACGGCCCAGACUCCUACUGGAGGCAGCAGUGCGGAAUAUUGCACAAUGGGCGCAAGCCUGAUGCAGCGACGCUGCGGGUGGUAUGACGGCCUUAUGGUUGUAAACUCCUUUCGCUAGGGACGAAGCUUUUUGUGACGGUACCUAGAUAAGAAGCACCGGCUAACUACGUG